rnacentral:rRNA from 1 species
CCUACGGGAGGCAGCAGUGGGGGAUAUUGGACAAUGGGGGAAACCCUGAUGCAGCGACGCCGCGUGAGUGAAGAAGUAUUUCGGUUUGUAAAGCACUAUCAGCAGGGAAGAAAGAAAUGACGGUACCUGAGUAAGAAGCCCCGGCUAACUACGUGCCAGCAGCCGCGGUAAUACGUAGGGAGCAAGCGUUAUCCGGAAGUACUGGGUGUAAAGGGAGCGUAGGCGGUCAUGCAAGUCUGGAGUGAAAGGCGGGGGCCCACCCCCCGGACUGCUCUGGAAACUGUGCAACUGGAGUGAAGGAGAGGCAGGCGGAAUUCCUAGUGUAGCGGUGAAAGGCGUAGAGAUUAGGAGGAACACCAGUGGCGAAGGCGGCCUGCUGGACUGUAACUGACGUUGAGGCUCGAAAGCGUGGGGAGCAAACAGGAUUAGAUACCCGGGUAGUC